AACAAACGCUGGCGGCGUGCCUAACACAUGCAAGUCGUACGAGAAAGGGUCCUUCGGGGCCUGAGUAAAGUGGCGCACGGGUGAGUAACGCGUGGAUAAUCUGCCCUUCAGUUGGGAAUAACUCAUCGAAAGGUGGGCUAAUACCGAAUAAUGCUGUGAGACCUCGGCUGAUCAGCCAAAGAGAGCCUCUGCUUGCAAGCCCUCGCUGAAGGAUGAGUCCGCGUACCAUUAGCUAGUUGGUAGGGUAAUGGCCUACCAAGGCGACGAUGGUUAGGUGGUCUGCCAGGAUGGAGGACCACGCUGGAACUGAGACACGGGACAGACUCCUACGGGAGGCAGCAGUGAGGAAGCUUGCGCAAUGGGGGCAACCCUGACGCAGCAACGCCGCGUGAGUGAGGAAGGUCUUCGGAUCGUAAAGCUCUGUCGGAUGGAAAGAACCGCAUAGGGGUAAACAGCCCCUGUGUCUGACGGUACCAUCAAAGGAAGCACCGGCUAACUCCGUGCCAGCCGCCGCCGUAACAC
rnacentral:rRNA from 1 species